AUGCUGGGACAAGGACUAACCGUCCUAUCCUGUGGAUAGAUGCUGGGACAACGAUUGACCAUCCCAUCAUGUGGAUCGACGCUGGGACCAGGAUUAACAUCCAUCAGCUGGAUCAACACCUCCUUCUGGACAGGACGACAGCAAUGGGCAGGAACAGGGCAAUGGAGAGGAACAGGACAAUGGCCAUGGAUGAGGAGAAGCCCGCCCAGGCCUCCUCUGCCUCCUCCGCCCCCCGCGGAUGGACCUCAGGCUUCCACAGGAUGGGCAAAGAGCCCCCAGGAUCCUGGGCUUCCCAUCGGUCUGGCCGACCCAGCUGGAUGGACACUGGGACCAGGAUUAACAUCCCAGCAUGAGGGUAGGGAUCCAUGCUGGGACAAGGAUUAACCAUCCUAUCCUGUGGAUAGAUGCUGGGACAAGGAUUAACCAUCCCAGCAUGGACCAAUGCUGGGACAAGGAUCAACAUCCCAUCAUGUGAAUCGACGCUGGGACCAGGAUUAACAUCCAUCAGCUGGAUCAACACCUCCUUCUGGUAA